rnacentral:rRNA from 1 species
CACGAAGUUAGCCGGGGCUUCUUCUGUGGGUACCGUCAUCAUCGUCCCCACUGAAAGAGCUUUACAACCCUAAGGCCUUCAUCACUCACGCGGCAUGGCUGGGUCAGGCUUUCGCCCAUUGCCCAAUAUUCCCCACUGCUGCCUCCCGUAGGAGUCUGGGCCGUGUCUCAGUCCCAGUGUGGCUGAUCAUCCUCUAAGACCAGCUACAGAUCGUAGCCUUGGUAGGCCUUUACCCCACCAACUAGCUAAUCUGCCGCGGGCUGAUUCUUGGGCGAUAAAUCUUUGGUCCGAAGACAUUAUGCGGUAUUAGCGCAAGUUUCCCUGCGUUAUUCCCCACCCAAGAGCACAUUCCCACGUGUUACGCACCCGUCCGCCGCUAAUGUAUUGCUACAUCCGCUCGACUUGCAUGUGUUAAGCCUGCCGCCAGCGUCGUUCUGUAGCCAGGAGUCAACUAC